rnacentral:tRNA from 1 species
CUCAAAAUAGUAAAAUUUAAUACGUUGGAGUUAAGUUCCAGAGAUGGGCAUAUGUUCUUUUGAGA